GACGUAGGUGGCGAACGUUAUCCGGAAUCAUUGGGCGUAAAGGGUGCGUAGAUGGCAUGAUAAGUUAUUGGUGGGAAAUCGAGGCUCAACCUCGUGGAAACUAGUAAUACUAUUUUUGCUUUGAGUGCAGGAGAGGUUAACGGAACUUUCUGUGGAGGGGUAAAAUCCAAAGAUAUAGAUUUGGAACACCGAUAAGGCGAAGGCAGUUUAACUAUUCUGUUUACUGACAUUGAGGCACGAAAAGCGUGGGGGAGCAAAAACGG
rnacentral:rRNA from 1 species